UCGGAGGGAAAUUCAAAUUUUCAUUGAUAUUCAAAAGUAACUAAUGAGUUAUUACAACUGGCUAUUUAUACUACUCAAUGAUCUACUGAAAAUGUAAAAUUAAGGCAAGUGAACUGAGCUAAGGCAUAAGCUAAAUAUACUAACUACAUUUCCCGCUAUUAACUAGUAUUCAAAUUUGAACUAUAACUAACAUAACUAACUUUCAAAUGACCUACUCUUCAGCUGUUGACGUGGCUUCUUCAUGGACUCUUGCUGAAUUUUGUGUAUCAUUCUCAAAUCAUAGUGUCAACAUCGAUCAUCACGGGUCCUCGUGCAAAGUAGGAGUUUUUGCCCAUUGCUUCUGGAUUCUCUUUGAAGGUUUGUCCAUUUUUGCUUUUCCGGCGCUAUGCAUAAUUUCUCACUAGACCUUUAACAUGCAUGUUGAUUCUAUCUGAUUUGCAUAUGCAUCUAUGAAAUAAAAUAGAUACCUGAUAAUUGUAUACUUCCGGUCUUUGAUGUCGUUCAUUUCUUAUUAUCUCUCUCCUUCCUUUUGCUCCAGACCAGCUUCUUUCUUCUGGCGAGUUAGAAAGAGAGAUAAUAGAUCAUUUUACACAAUUAUGGCAAACAAAGCAGAAAAUGAAGAAUAAUUUUUGGAAAACCAGAUGACAUUGGGAUCUUCUAUCAUUAUUAUCUCUCUGAAAUUUUUUGCACAUAGUAAUAGGAGCAGAAAACUUAGUGCAAUCAUAAAAAUAUGCAAGAGGACUUACUGAACUUCUCCCUCAAUAAAAUCUGCAUCAAAGUGUCUCAGCACCAGCAACGGUCCAACAGAAAGACAGUACCAACCUAAAAAAGCAUCAACAUAACGAAAAAUAGAUGGUAACAAGAUCUUAUGGCAAUUUCUACAACAAAAUUAAGUCUUACUCCUUAAAGAGCACUUAUUUGUUAAGACAACAAAAUCCAUAAAUGUUGUAAAUUUUUUUCAGGGGCAUAGUAGCAUGUAAAAGAAUAUAAAUAAUGAUCAUUAAUCGAAAACCUAAACACAAAAAGACAUAUUCAGGUUUUAAGUAUUUAUCACUAAAGCAAGUCUACCACAUAGUGCCUUAACUCCAAGUAAAAAUCCUUUUUUUAGCCAAGUCUAAAUAGCAUCUUACUAUAACAUAACACCUAAAAUUUAGAUCAGACUAAUACAAUAGCACAUAUUUGUUCCUCGCAAAAAUUACUACUAUAAUAGAAGAAAGUCAAAUGCUUUCCGUUUAUGUUCUAGGAGUAUAUAACAACAUAAUAGAAGAAUUUUAUCAGCUCGUCUCGAAGUAAUUCAAAAAUGUUGACUCCAUUUGCAAGACCUGCAUAACAGAGGGCUAUUUAACCUCACCAGCAAAUCUAUAACCAUUACAUAGUGAAAAAUUACAGAUAAUAUCACAUAUCUGACUGCUGAAAAACUAAUCUUCUUGACAAUAAUUCAAACUUCACAUUGAGUGAAAAUAAUAUCACUGUUUUGAUUGAAGUUAAUACCUAAUAAACAAUACGGCAACAUAAUAUUGACAACUUAGAAAUUGAUAGAAACAGAAACAGAAAAGGACUAAUACUCUAUCGGAGCUUCGUCCAUCUUUCUUUUAUUGUUAGACAUCUAUUUUCAUACAUUUCAUAAAGUUUCUUUAAAAAUAAAGUCUACAUUUUGUAAUCUUAACAUUUAAUUUAUUCAUAAAGUAGACAAUCUAUACAGCGCAACACAAAUAUAUAAAGCACAACUACUUUGUAUUAUGAUUAAGAAACGACAUUAGAAGGAAAAACUGCAGAAAUUACAUCUUGUGGUCGAAGCAGUUUCCCUUUUCCCACCACCUUGAGUGGUUUCUAUUUUUAAAAGCCUGUGAAAUCGAAAUUGUGUAACCAUUAUAUUCCAACUAUACAGAUUCCCAAAAUUCGAUUAUGUCCUGUAUUGAGAAAUUAAAAUUCAGGGAGUAAAUAUGAGUAGUGAAAAAUACAGGUCGAUCCAAAAUUAAAAGAGCAAUCUGGUUGCAAAAUUAUCAUAGACCGAGGAAGAAUAAACAAUUUAAAAAGAUUAUAAUCUGACAGCAAGAGCAAGAGAAUCAAUAGCUUUUACAAGGCUCAAUGGAACACAAAUUAUAUUUUAAGCAAUUUCCUCGGAACAAUAUAAAUCCGAGAACAUAUUAUCAAGAAAUCAAAUCAAAUUCAUCUUUGAAAAAACAAAGAUGAGAUUGAUCUUUCCUGAAAAAAGUCAACUGGGAUUAAGAAAAAUUUGAUUCCGGGUAUAUGCUUAGGUCCCAUAUUUGAAGAUGGACCCACCGGAAGCCGUUGAAAUAUGAAUCUGGAUCCGUUUACUCAAAAUAUUGAUCGAAAUCAACUAAAAUUAAUUUUUUAAGGCAAAAAUUUUUGUUUUUAUCAAACAAGCCUUCCGAGUCAAUACCCGAACUACGCAGGCAGAUAGAAAAGACUAAAAUGAGGUUCUAAAGGCUGUAGAUAGUACCUCAGCUGAGCAUAAAGAAAGGAAGAGGAAGAAGAAAGUGUAGUUGGAAAAUAAGGGAAGUUUGAACGUCACCAUGUUAGAGAAAGAAAGCAUAUGCUAUUGUUGGAUGGUAAGGUUUUCGAUAGAGUUGCAAAUUUAUAACCACUUUGCAGCCCCCCACCCCCCACACAUAACCAUUUUAUAAUAGCUCCUCGUUUCUUAUACUAUGUGCCAUGUACGCGCGUUAGAAGAACUGAUUUAUAUAUCCACUUGAAAACAAGUACUAC
rnacentral:lncRNA from 1 species